rnacentral:snRNA from 1 species
AGCUUUGCGCAGUGGCAGUAUCGUAGCCAAUGAGGUUUAUCCGAGGCGCGAUUAUUGCUAGUUGAAAACUUUUCCCAUACCCCCGCGCUAUGACGGCUUGAAAUACAGCCGACAAUGGCAAUUUUUGACAGUCUCUAAGGAGA